rnacentral:tRNA from 1 species
AAAGAAUUAGUUUAAUAUAAAAACAUUAAAUUGUCAAUUUAAAAAUAUUUUUCCUUUAAAAAAUAUUCUUUU